rnacentral:rRNA from 1 species
AUGGCAGAGAUGUCGCCCCUCCACCGGGUGAUCGACGCCGCCCGCUGGGACAAAGAGCGCCUCCUCGGCCGCCUCAUAAUCCUCGUCCACGCCGCCUUCCUCGACGCCGGCUUCGUGUUCCACGCCGACAGCGUCCUCAAGUCCGGGCGGGUCCCGCGUCGGGCGGGCCGGACGGCCUCGACUCUUUCCCUCGUGUUUGCCCAAGACCCACGGCCGGGCACGCACUGGGUGUGCGUGGACGCACGCGCCGCGGCGCCGCUCCUGUCAGGCGGCCUGGACGACACCGCGCGCGCUCUGACCGACGACGACGGCGACAGCCCGGUGGCCGCGCUAUGGAGGGAGCUCACCGAGAAGCUAUGCCGGUCUACCCUCGUCGCCGUGUGCCCUGGCAAUACCCUCUUGUCGCUCCCCGUCGACGUCAUGCUGGACAUCCUGGCGAGGCUCACAGACGGCGUGGACCUCUUUAGGGUGGCGAGCACUUGCGCCGGACUGGGCCGCCUCGUGGCCGACCAUGACAGCGAGCUCUGGAAGCACAGGUAUAAGGCCUCGUUCUGGCGGAGAUGGAACGACAAGUCCCCCAUGGCCGACGACGCGUCCGGGACGACUUGGAUGAAGCUGUGGUGCAAAGAGAGACGAGAAGACGCCAAGUUCGCCGCGUCUAUGCGCGAGUAUCGUCGUCAAAAGUCAAAACCUACUCAAAUAUUCUAG